CAAAUACUUUUCAGAACAAGGGAAAAAUAAGUUAAUAACCCAGAUCCCAUGGCCCAGGAACAGGACUAGAGGGCUGUCAUCUCAGAUGCCACAGUAAAAGGGGACCCAGAACUUCCACACUUCUGUCUGAUCAGCUCAUUUCUGAAGUCAGGAGCUAAAUUCACUUCAGGGACCUCCAGAAGUGAAAUACACACUCUUUGGAGUCAAACUGGGCUGAACACAACCGAUGACCUACAAUGUCCCCAGUUGAACCCGAAGGACAUCAUCAGGGACUCAGUUGCAGCUGUGGAACCACCAGCACCACCAAGGAUAUCCACAAUGUACUAAAAGAGAAACUCUAAGUAGAAAAAACACACAAAAAGCAUUAUAUCCAU
rnacentral:lncRNA from 1 species